rnacentral:rRNA from 1 species
ACGAACGCUGGCGGCGUGCCUAAUACAUGCAAGUAGAACGCUGAAGAGAGGAGCUUGCUCUUCUUGGAUGAGUUGCGAACGGGUGAGUAACGCGUAGGUAACCUGCCUUGUAGCGGGGGAUAACUAUUGGAAACGAUAGCUAAUACCGCAUAACAAUAGGUGACACAUGUCAUUUAUUUGAAAGGGGCAAUUGCUCCACUACAAGAUGGACCUGCGUUGUAUUAGCUAGUAGGUGAGGUAACGGCUCACCUAGGCGACGAUACAUAGCCGACCUGAGAGGGUGAUCGGCCACACUGGGACUGAGACACGGCCCAGACUCCUACGGGAGGCAGCAGUAGGGAAUCUUCGGCAAUGGGGGCAACCCUGACCGAGCAACGCCGCGUGAGUGAAGAAGGUUUUCGGAUCGUAAAGCUCUGUUGUAAGUCAAGAACGAGUGUGAGAGUGGAAAGUUCACACUGUGACGGUAGCUUACCAGAAAGGGACGGCUAACUACGUGCCAGCAGCCGCGGUAAUACGUAGGUCCCGAGCGUUGUCCGGAUUUAUUGGGCGUAAAGCGAGCGCAGGCGGUUUGAUAAGUCUGAAGUUAAAGGCUGUGGCUCAACCAUAGUUCGCUUUGGAAACUGUCAAACUUGAGUGCAGAAGGGGAGAGUGGAAUUCCAUGUGUAGCGGUGAAAUGCGUAGAUAUAUGGAGGAACACCGGUGGCGAAAGCGGCUCUCUGGUCUGUAACUGACGCUGAGGCUCGAAAGCGUGGGGAGCGAACAGGAUUAGAUACCCUGGUAGUCCACGCCGUAAACGAUGAGUGCUAGGUGUUGGAUCCUUUCCGGGAUUCAGUGCCGCAGCUAACGCAUUAAGCACUCCGCCUGGGGAGUACGACAGCAAGGUUGAAACUCAAAGGAAUUGACGGGGGCCCGCACAAGCGGUGGAGCAUGUGGUUUAAUUCGAAGCAACGCGAAGAACCUUACCAGGUCUUGACAUCCCGAUGCUAUUUCUAGAGAUAGAAAGUUACUUCGGUACAUCGGUGACAGGUGGUGCAUGGUUGUCGUCAGCUCGUGUCGUGAGAUGUUGGGUUAAGUCCCGCAACGAGCGCAACCCCUAUUGUUAGUUGCCAUCAUUCAGUUGGGCACUCUAGCGAGACUGCCGGUAAUAAACCGGAGGAAGGUGGGGAUGACGUCAAAUCAUCAUGCCCCUUAUGACCUGGGCUACACACGUGCUACAAUGGUUGGUACAACGAGUUGCGAGUCGGUGACGGCAAGCUAAUCUCUUAAAGCCAAUCUCAGUUCGGAUUGUAGGCUGCAACUCGCCUACAUGAAGUCGGAAUCGCUAGUAAUCGCGGAUCAGCACGCCGCGGUGAAUACGUUCCCGGGCCUUGUACACACCGCCCGUCACACCACGAGAGUUUGUAACACCCGAAGUCGGUGAGGUAACCUUUUGGAGCCAGCCGCCUAAGGUGGGAUAGAUGAUUGGGGUG